UACGGGGGGAGCAAGCGUUGUUCGGAUUUACUGGGCGUAAAGGGCGCGUAGGCGGCCAGUGCAAGUCAGUUGUGAAAUCUCCGAGCUUAACUCGGAAAGGUCAACUGAUACUGCUCGGCUAGAGUGCGGAAGGGGCAACUGGAAUUCUUGGUGUAGCGGUGAAAUGCGUAGAUAUCAAGAGGAACACCUGCGGCGAAGGCGGGUUGCUGGGCCGACACUGACGCUGAUGCGCGAAAGCUAGGGGAGCAAACGGG
rnacentral:rRNA from 1 species